rnacentral:rRNA from 1 species
GAUGAACGCCGGCGGCGUGCCUAAUACAUGCAAGUAGAACGCUGAAGGAAGGAGCUUGCUCUUUCCGGAUGAGUUGCGAACGGGUGAGUAACGCGUAGGUAACCUGCCUGGUAGCGGGGGAUAACUAUUGGAAACGAUAGCUAAUACCGCAUAACAGUAGAUGUUGCAUGAUAUCUACUUAAAAGGUGCAAUUGCACCACUACCAGAUGGACCUGCGUUGUAUUAGCUAGUUGGUGAGGUAACGGCUCACCAAGGCGACGAUACAUAGCCGACCUGAGAGGGUGAUCGGCCACACUGGGACUGAGACACGGCCCAGACUCCUACGGGAGGCAGCAGUAGGGAAUCUUCGGCAAUGGACGGAAGUCUGACCGAGCAACGCCGCGUGAGUGAAGAAGGUUUUCGGAUCGUAAAGCUCUGUUGUAAGAGAAGAACGAGUGUGAGAGUGGAAAGUUCACACUGUGACGGUAUCUUACCAGAAAGGGACGGCUAACUACGUG